rnacentral:rRNA from 1 species
GAUGAACGCUGGCGGCGUGCCUAAUACAUGCAAGUCGAACGAAGAUGAAAGCUUGCUUUCAUCUUAGUGGCGAACGGGUGAGUAAUACAUAAACAAUCUACCGCAGAGCCUGGGAUAACCAAUGGAAACGUUGGCUAAUACCGGAUAGGUUAAAGUGAGGCAUCUUACUUUAAUUAAAGUUGGGUUACAACACCCUGCGAUGAGUUUAUGGCGCAUUAGCUAGUUGGUGAGGUAACGGCUCACCAAGGCGAUGAUGCGUAGCCGACCUGAGAGGGUGACCGGCCACACUGGGACUGAGACACGGCCCAGACACCUACGGGUGGCUGCAGUCGAGAAUCUUCGGCAAUGGGCGAAAGCCUGACCGAGCGACGCCGCGUGAGGGAAGAAGGCCUUCGGGCUGUAAACCUCUUUCGUAGAGGAGGAAGGGGCCGUGCAGAGCGGUCUUUGACCUAUUCUAGGAAGAAGCUUGGGCUAAGUUCGUGCCAGCCGCCGCAGUAAUAC